rnacentral:rRNA from 1 species
UACGGAGGGGGCUAGCGUUGUUCGGAAUUACUGGGCGUAAAGCGCACGUAGGCGGACUGUUAAGUCGGGGGUGAAAUCCUGGAGCUCAACUCCAGAACUGCCUUUGAUACUGAGGAUCUUGAGUCCGGGAGAGGUGAGUGGAACUGCGAGUGUAGAGGUGAAAUUCGUAGAUAUUCGCAAGAACACCAGUGGCGAAGGCGGCUCACUGGCCCGGUACUGACGCUGAGGCACGAAAGCGUGGGGAGCAAACAGG